ACCCGUUGAUCCUGCGGGAAGUUGCUGCUAUCUGGGUUCGAUUUAGCCAUGCAAGCGCGGGCUCUUCGUGAGUACCGGCAGAUCGCUCAGUAACACGUCGAUAAUCUAACCUUAAGUCUGGGAUAACCUUGGGAAACUGAGGACAAUAUCGGAUAAGGGAUAGGUUCUGGAAUGUCCUUUCCUUAAAUUAAGGAUGAGUCGGCGGCGGAUUAGGUAGUUGGUGAGGUAAGGGCUCACCAAGCCGAAGAUCCGUAGGGGCCUUGAAAGAGGGAGCCCCGAGAAGAGCACUGAGAUACUGGCUCUAGCCCUACGGGGUGCAGCAGGCGCGAAACCUUUACAAUGCACGAGAGUGUGAUAAGGGAACCCAGAGUGCUUAGUUUAACUAGGCUUUUACCAAGAGUAAAUAUCUUGGAGAAUAAGUGGUGGGAAAGACUGGUGCCAGCCGCCGCGGUAAUACCAGCGCCACGAGUGGGAACUGCAAUUAUUGGGCCUAAAGCGUCCGUAGCCUGUUUAGUAAUUUCUUGUGAAACUGUUAAGCUUAACUUAACAACGUGCAGGAAACACUGCUAAACUAGGGACUGGGAGGGGUUAGAAGUAUGUUUGGGGUAACGGUAAAAUGUUAUAAUCCUAAAGAGACUACCUAUGGCGAAAGCAUCUAACCAGAACAGGUCCGACGGUGAGGGACGAAAGCUAGGGGAGCAAACCGGAUUAGAUACCCGAGUAGUCCUAGCCGUAAACGCUGCGAGCAAGAUGUUGCAUAUUCUUCGUGAAUGUGCAGUAUCGAAGAGAAGUCGUUAAGCUCGCCGCCUGGGAAGUAUGGUCGCAAGACUGAAACUUAAAGGAAUUGGCGGGGGAGCACUACAAGGGGUGCGGCGUGCGGUUUAAUCUAACUCAACGCAGAGAAUCUCACCAGAAGCGACGGCACAAUGAAAGUCAGAUUAAAGGUUUUACUUGAGGAGCCGAGAGGUAGUGCAUGGCCGCCGUCAGCUCGUUCCGUAAGGUGUCCUGUUAAGUCAGGCAACGAGCGAGACCUGUACCUACAAUUGCCAGCGACAGAUUUAUCUGGAUUGGGCACAUUGUAGGAACUGCCCUGGAAACAGGGAGGAAGGUGCAGGCUACGGUAGGUCUGUAUGCUCCGAAUCUUCUGGGCUACACGCGCGCAACAAUGGUAGAGACAAUGGAAUGCAACUCUGAAAAGAGAAGCUAAUCCUUCAAACUCUAUCCAAGUUCAGAUUGAGGAUUGUAACUCAUCCUCAUGACGCUGGAAUCCCUAGUAAUCAGGUUUUAUCAUAGCCUGGUGAAUAUGUCCCUGCUCCUUGCACACACUGCCCGUCAAAUCAACCGAGUUGGGUCUGGAUGAGACUUAAUCUUUAAUUAAAGCGAAUCUUGGCUCAGUGAGGUGGGUUAAGUCGUCACAAGGUC
rnacentral:rRNA from 1 species